CCUACGGGAGGCUGCAGUGGGGAAUAUUGGACAAUGGGGGCAACCCUGAUCCAGCCAUGCCGCGUGUGUGAAGAAGGCCCUCGGGUUGUAAAGCACUUUCAGUGAGGAAGAACGCCUGGUGGUUAAUACCCAUCAGGAAAGACAUCACUCACAGAAGAAGCACCGGCUAACUCCGUGCCAGCAGCCGCGGUAAUACGGAGGGUGCGAGCGGUAAUCGGAAUUACUGGGCGUAAAGCGCGCGUAGGUGGCUUGAUAAGCCGGUUGUGAAAGCCCCGGGCUCAACCUGGGAACGGCAUCCGGAACUGUCAAGCUAGAGUGCAGGAGAGGAAGGUAGAAUUCCCGGUGUAGCGGUGAAAUGCGUAGAGAUCGGGAGGAAUACCAGUGGCGAAGGCGGCCUUCUGGACUGACACUGACACUGAGGUGCGAAAGCGUGGGUAGCAAACAGGAUUAGAUACCCUGGUAGUC
rnacentral:rRNA from 1 species